AUUGAACGCUGGCGGCAUGCCUUAUACAUGCAAGUCGAACGGCAGCACGGGUGCUUGCACCUGGUGGCGAGUGGCGAACGGGUGAGUAAUACAUCGGAACGUACCUUAUCGGGGGGGAUAACGCAGCGAAAGCUGUGCUAAUACCGCAUACGCCCUGAGGGGGAAAGCGGGGGAUCGCAAGACCUCGCGCGAUUAGAGCGGCCGAUGCCUGAUUAGCUUGUUGGUGGGGUAAAAGCCCACCAAGGCGACGAUCAGUAGCUGGUCUGAGAGGACGAUCAGCCACACUGGGACUGAGACACGGCCCAGACUCCUACGGGAGGCAGCAGUGGGGAAUUUUGGACAAUGGGGGCAACCCUGAUCCAGCAAUGCCGCGUGAGUGAAGAAGGCCUUCGGGUUGUAAAGCUCUUUUGUCAGGGAAGAAACACCGGCUCUAACACAGUCUGGGAAUGACGGUACCUGAAGAAUAAGCACCGGCUAACUACGUGCCAGCAGCCGCGGUAA
rnacentral:rRNA from 1 species